rnacentral:rRNA from 1 species
GAUGAACGCUAGCGGCAGGCUUAAUACAUGCAAGUCGAGGGGCAGCAUGAUUGUAGCAAUACAAUUGAUGGCGACCGGCAAACGGGCGCGGAACACGUACACAACCUUCCAACAAGUGGGGGAUAGCCCAGAGAAAUUUGGAUUAAUACCCCGUAACAUAGCGAUGUGGCAUCACAUUGCUAUUAUAGAUUUUUCGCUUGUUGAUGGGUGUGCGGCUGAUUAGAUAGUUGGCGGGGUAACGGCCCACCAAGUCUACGAUCAGUAGCUGAUGUGAGAGCAUGAUCAGCCACACGGGCACUGAGACACGGGCCCGACGCCUACGGGAGGCAGCAGUAAGGAAUAUUGGACAAUGGACGCAAGUCUGAUCCAGCCAUGCCGCGUGAAGGAUUAAGGUCCUCUGGAUUGUAAACUUCUUUUAUAAGGGACGAAAAAAGGCUUUUCUAAGUCGUCUGACGGUACCUUAUGAAUAAGCACCGGCUAACUUCGUGCCAGCCGCCGCAGUAAAAC